GCAACGAGGUUAGCGCCACGGCGUUAUUAUACUUUAUAUAUACAUAAUAUAUAAUAAGCAAUAUAAAGUUAUAUAUAUAAAAUAAUUAUAAAUUUAUUACCAAUUAAUAUUAUAUAUAGUUAUCGAUAUUCUAUCGUAGGUCACGAUCGUAAUGCGAUUCGGGGCGGGGGCUAGGGAGACUUUGAAAAUAUAAUUUAUGAUAUUUUUAAAUAAACGUUUUUUUUUCAACUUGUUACUGAAGCUCCAAACUGUAAAAAUCUAUGUGUAUUUAUUGACAAUUGACCAUGUGCAUAUUAUAUAACUAUACGCAAAGUUACAUUUUUGUGAUGACGAUUUAUUAUAUUUUGUAUUUUCAUACGCUGCAGCGAUGGCGACGUAUAAUUUGUACUAGAGAGAACGGGUUAAAAUAUAGUUUGUCCAAAUCUCUCAAUGAGGAGAUUGCAAUGAGACAGUUGGAUACGUUGUAGUUCAAAGAAAGAACGAUUAAAGUCAUAAAGAUGGGACACGCCGUAGUGGUCACUAUACAGUUAUGGUUAUUUCGUGUUGGAUCUCAUACGUGAAAAAAGUAGUUGGACUCAUCA